AUUGAACGCUGGCGGCAGGCCUAACACAUGCAAGUCGAGCGAGCGGCGGACGGGUGAGUAAUGUCUGGGAAACUGCCCGAUGGAGGGGGAUAACUACUGGAAACGGUAGCUAAUACCGCAUACCAUCAGAUGUGCCCAGAUGGGAUUAGCUAGUAGGUGGGGUAACGGCUCACCGAGGCGACGAUCCCUAGCUGGUCUGAGAGGAUGACCAGCCACACGGGAACUGAGACACGGUCCAGACUCCUACGGGAGGCAGCAGUGGGGAAUAUUGCGCAAUGGGCGAAAGCCUGAUGCAGCCAGGCCGCGUGUGUGAAGAAGGCCUUCGGGUUGUAAAGCUCUUUCAGCAGGGAGGCGUUACCCGAAGAGGAAGCACCGGCUAACUCCGUGCCAGCAGCCGCGGUAAUUC
rnacentral:rRNA from 1 species